ACGCGACAAACCUUACCUACUCUUGACAUCCUGCGAAUUCGGUAGAGAUACCUUAGUGCCUUCGGGAACGCAGAGACAGGUGCUGCAUGGCUGUCGUCAGCUCGUGUUGUGAAAUGUUGGGUUAAGUCCCCGUAACGAGCGCAACCCUUGUCCUUAUUUGCCAGCACGUAAUGGUGGGAACUCUAAGGAGACUGCCGGUGACAAACCCGGAGGAAGGUGGGGACGACGUCAAGUCAUCAUGGCCCUUACG
rnacentral:rRNA from 1 species